rnacentral:rRNA from 1 species
CGCUAUCACUCCUACGGGAGGCAGCAGUGGGGAAUAUUGCACAAUGGGGGAAACCCUGAUGCAGCCAUGCCGCGUGUGUGAAGAAGGCCUUCGGGUUGUAAAGCACUUUCAGUAGGGAAGAAGGUAGUGUAGUUAACACCUGCAUUAUUUGACGUUACCUACAGAAGAAGCACCGGCUAACUCCGUGCCAGCAGCCGCGGUAAUACGGAGGGUGCGAGCGUUAAUCGGAAUUACUGGGCGUAAAGCGCAUGCAGGCGGCCUGUUAAGUCAGAUGUGAAAGCCCGGGGCUUAACCUCGGAAUUGCAUUUGAAACUGGCAGGCUAGAGUCUUGUAGAGGGGGUAGAAUUUCAGGUGUAGCGGUGAAAUGCGUAGAGAUCUGAAGGAAUACCAGUGGCGAAGGCGGCCCCCUGGACAAAGACUGACGCUCAGAUGCGAAAGCGUGGGGAGCAAACAGGAUUAGAUACCCUGGUAG